rnacentral:lncRNA from 1 species
UGGAAUCGUUUUCCCAAACUUAUCUGACUUAAUCCUGAAAAGAAUUGGGAGGGAGGGGAGGGGGGGGUGAAAUGGACCCCCACCACCACCAUGGCCUUGGAAGGAACUUGAAUGAAAUGUUGCCACUUUUCACAAGCUUGUACUUUUAGAAAACCCUGGGUGGAAUCGCUUUCGGGGGUUUCAACCAGCAUUGAGAAGCCGGCCUAUCAGGAAUCAGCAGCCAGGGAUUGGAAAGGGCUAACUCGGUCCGCCAUAUAAUUAAGAAAUGGAUAGACGACGUUUUGUUAAUCAGUUCUGUUUGCAGUCAAAAUCCCCAACUACAACCUCUCACCUCAACUGAAAAUCCUUGGAACUGCUGCAGUUAUUUUUCCCUUUUUUUUUUUUCUGAUUCAAUUUCUUUUGGAAAAAGAAUGAAUGCACCAGUAGCUCUGAGAGCUUCCUUAGGAAUCCUGUCUUUGGUAAUUGACCCAGAUUCGGGAAUCCCAAGAAACUCACCUACUUCUCGGUCGAAGCAGCUGAUCAGGCCUCUAGGAUUUACUGAUUUGUGCAAGUAAAAUGUUUAUGAAUCUUUGUUCACAUAAACAAAUUAUAUUUUCGUCUUGCAGACGUAAAAAGACAAAAAGGAUAUAUACCUAUUACAGUGUAACAAAAUACUUUUCUUGUCAAAAAAUUAAGGGA